CACAUAAGGAUAAUAGGCCUAGCAGAUGAUUAAGUCGAAAUUAUUGAAGUGAUAAGGUUUUCAUAAGUCAAAAGGUGAAAUGAUGAGAUGAAAGGUGUCAAAUUUUGAUACAAUAAGGCUAAAUCAUUGAAAAUAAGGAAUUUUCAUCAACCUUAUCACUUUGCACGACCAUUAUUCUGAAAAACAGAGAGAAAAGAAAACCAAAAACCAUUUCUUGGCUGGUUUGAAGAAAUUCUAAGGAGAUCCAAGUGAAAGCAAAGCCAAAGAAGUAGAUUAAGCUUAGUUCUAGCCUUUUUAUGAUAUUUCUCAGGGUUUCCAAGUGGUUUGAGGUUUAGAAAAGCUUGAAGAGAUUGUUUUCGCCGAAAAGUUGCUCGGUAGAGAAAGAAAUAUGUGAAUGACAUGAGGAGAACUGAAGCAUGGUCCUGACCUUGAUUUGUACAUAUGAACACAUCGACCUUUUGUGGGUUAUUUCAGUUAUCAGUGAGAUGUUUGUAAUAAAGUGUGAAGUUAUGUUUUGAAAAUAAAUUGGGUUAUUUAAUACUUAUGUAUAAUAUGUUUGAGACACACUUUAUGUUUAAUGUAAAUAAUGUGAAAUAAGUUUUCAAGUUUAAAAAAAAAAAAAUGUGUCCAGAUUUCCGCAGUAAUAAAUUAUGAUAUAGUUUUAAAACGUAACACCUCAAAUAUGGUUUUAACUAUAAUAAGUGAGGGUGUUACACACAUAAUUGAGAUUUUUGUGAAUUUGGUGAUUUUAAUUAUAUAUAUGUGAUUAUGUGGA